rnacentral:rRNA from 1 species
CAUUUCCUUUUGGGAGUCGGACCUGCUCGGUGAAUUCUUUCAACAGCCGCGGUACUCUGACCGUGCAAAGGUAGUAAAUCAUUUGCCUUAUAAUUGAAGGCUAGUAUGAAUGGUUUGACGAGAAUUAAGCUGUCUCUUUACAACUAAAUAUAAUUUUAUAAAUAGGUGAAGAAGCCUAUGUUAGAUUGAUAGACAAGAAGACCCUAUCGAGCUUUAAAUAAUUUAAUAGAUUAAUAAUAUAUUGAUAAAAAAAUUAGACUAUUGAAAAUUUUAGUUGGGGCGACUGAGGAACAAAUAAAGCUUCCUUUAUAUUCUGAAUUACAAGCAGGUAUUGAUCCAAUAAAUUUGAUUAAAGGAAUUAGUUACCGUAGGGAUAACAGCAUAAUCCUUCUUGAGAGCUCUUAUCGAAAGAGGGGUUUGUGACCUCGAUGUUGGACCAGAAUAUUCAGAAGAUGCAGCUGUCUUCAAUGGUUUGGUCUGUUCGACCAUUAAAAUUCUACGUGAUCUGAGUUUCAGACCGGGUGAAC